UUGCUGUGAUGAAAGAGAUUCCAAAGCCAUUCGUAGUUUCCACCAGAAGUCUUUCCAGAAAGACUUGUGUUGGUCCAAGUACCUUCCUUGGAUGUCUGAGCGA